AGUCUCGUCCGAUCAUUUGGUGACCACUACAUUCUCUCUUCUCGACUCCAGUUCAGCGGCCUAACCCAGAUCAGCUCUCCAGUGGCAAUAAUAUAUAUUUUAGAUUUUUUUUAUUAUUAAUACUAAAUUUGAUGAUAGAUACAAAGUUUUAUUUUAUAUUAUUUUGCUUAUUAUAAUUGUAUUUAUCCUUAGUUAGACAGAACAAAAACAAAAAUGGUAGAUUUAUCUUAGGUGUUUCUUUCUCACC
rnacentral:lncRNA from 1 species